AGAGCUGAGGGAGGAGGGAACAGGGUCAGACACACCCCUGCUCCAACCCCACCAUUUGGCUCACUCUCCCUCCCACCUGAGGCCUCCAGACUCACCUGGUAUAGCCAUUGCCACUGGAAGGGCACUGCCACCCGGAGCAAGAUGGCGAUGAUGCGGGUGAAGUAGACAUAACAGAUGACCUGUGGGAGCAAGGUGGUCAUGGGACAGAAGGGACAGAGAGACCACAAGGACUGUGAAAUGGGGGAUGACUGAUAGGAGCCUCAAGAUCCCGGGAAGUAGGUUAGGGGAUGGUGACUGGCUGAUUGUCCUUGUCCCCUCUUGGCUUCCCUCUCCCUCCCCACUCUCCAUCCCCACGAGCCAGCAGGCUCCUACCAUGACGUAGUAAUGCCGAAACAGCUUCAGCUUGGCCAGGUUCACUGCCACUGAGGGGAGGGCAUAGAGAGGGGGUUAGGGAAAAGAGACUGGUGGGAGGAAGGGGGAGAGAGGUCAUUUGGGGGAGUGUCCAAGGGGCAGAAAGUUUUCAGAGGAUGUUAGGGUGGCAGAGAGGCCAGACUGGGGCCCAGGGAGCCACAGGCCAGGGGGUGGGCAGACAAGCCAGAAGGGGUAUCUAGAAACAGAAAGAAGUGGGCUGUGCGCAGAGUUUUUGAGGGGCAUUGUCUUACCCUUCCCAUCUGUGCCAGAUGCCUCCUGGAGAUGCCGGAUGGACCUGGGAUGAGGGGUACACAGGGCAUGGUUAGCAGUGGUUCCACCCAUAGAUACAGAGGGUAGAAUCUCAGCUACUGUCCUCACCAGACUACAGGGAAGAGGAUUGCACCGCAGCAAAUGAGGUCCACUAGGAAGAGGAUCUCCUUCCAGAGCCCGUAGUCGCUGGCGCCCUCUUCACGGGACUCAAUGACAAUGACAUACUUGACAAAGGCCCAGCCUGAGCCAAUCAAAGCGAUGGUAAUGAAGAGGAGGGCACCCUUCAGCCUGGGGGAGCAGAGGGAUGGUAUGAUAAUGAAGUCAGGUGGGCUCAGCCCUCCCUUGCCCACUUCUUUGCACCUGCUAGGCAGACAGGGGCCACUCACAGGUGCGUGAUGUAGUGCAUAACCGCGAGGCCUUCAAUGGGGUGACCUUGGCUGUUGAUGAAGUAGUAGUUGAUCUGGAGGUAGAUAGACAAUGGACAGUCAGACAGAUGGAAUGGAUGGACAGUUGGCCAAAUGGACCUCCCACAAGCCCCCUCAUUCCCCAGCUCCAGGUCCUCACACUGUGGAAGAGGAGAGAGAUGCUUUUGGUGAAGGCCAGGGCUGCCAUGAGCCAGUGGAUCUUGAAAACGUUGUACCUGGUUGGAAAGUCAGGGAGAGAAGUAGAGAUUGUCUUGAGGCAGGGAUAAGGGUCUGGUGAGGGGAGAUGGGGACUCCCAGGGGCAAGAGCAUUACGUGUUCCUGCAGAGGACUGACACCCAGAAGAUGCCAGCAGCCAGGAAGCAGGCAGACAUGACCAUGUACAGCUUGAAAAGGGGAAUCUCUGCGGCUGACAGGAAGCCACCAGGGUUCUUCUCCCGAAUCAUCACCUGGUGAGGGGACAGAGGUGGGUACUGGUGGUGGCACAAUCCUAGUGAGACCACUCCAGGUUCUGCUUUCUAGUUGGAUGACUAGCCCUCCCUGAACCUUAGUUGGCCCAUCUCUCAACACCUUCUGCUACCUCUCGCUGCUACUCGAGGGCUGUCCAGAGCUAAACUCCUGGUGGGUGCUCCCUGGUACUGCUGCCCACCCUCUGCUCACCGUGAUGUCGAACGGAUGCUCCUUUCCAGGCACUGAGUUGUUACAGUUGUGGAAGUUGAGGUUGUAUUGACCUUCCUCAGCCCUAGAGCCAAUCACCACAUGGAACUGGGCAGAGGAAGAGUUGGGGGAGAGAGGAGCUCAGCUUGGUGGUCCUCUACUCUAGAGGGGGUGGGAAGGCUGCAGGUGCUACAGACACUCACACUAAAGUUGUAGGAGUUGUUGAGGUGGCCCAGACCCAACACCAGCUCCUUGUCCUUCCCACCAGGUCCCUGAGGGAAGAGAACCCCUCCAUCAGCUGGGCCUGGGUACCCACACCCACACCCUGGGGUGGGCCUUUCUCCCUCUUGCCCUGGCUCUGCCAAACCUGAGACACUGUAGGCUGUGACUGGGCCUUGCUGACUGCAGUGGUCCCUGUAGGAGAUGGGUGAAUGAUUUUAAAAGGUGGACAGAGGGAUGGCAGGAAAAUGGAGUGGUGGUGAGGAAAGUCACAGGGCAGCCCUGACCUUCCACCCCUCUCUUCCUGCAUGGCCAACAUAACUUACCACUCUUGUCCUUGGGAGUGACCAUGGACUCUGGCUUUGGGAGCCCUGGUUCUGAGGGUACUUCGGGGAGGAGCCCAGGAGAGAUGAGUAAUUUCUGCUGUUCUCCAUACUUUCGUACCUGAACCCUGGGGUGAGAGGCAGGGGAAUGAGAAUGGGAGGCUGAACCCUAGAGAUGACCCCACAACCUUUGCUCAAUGACUCAAUGACUUCUGGGACCCUCUGCAUGUCUUUCAUGGAGGCUGGCAUCUAGCUAAGUCACCAAGUUUCAGCAUUUAGCUACCACCUAUCAAUGUACUACCAUAUUCGUGUGCUGUCUAGAAAUUAUUUGUCAUUUCCCAUGAUGUGGAUCCACUCUUUCUACUUAUAUUUUUUUAAAAGAAAACAGUGUCUCUACACAGAGGCAAAGCACUAUUGUCAGAUCCCUGUACCAGUUCUUGGGAUUCAGUGUACUUAUCUGAAGAAUGAGGACAAUAACAAUAUAUGGGCUGGAUGUGUUAUAUGUGUCAAAGCCCUCAGGACAUGCCUGGCAUACCAGAAGCAUCAAAUAUGAAUGAUCGUAUACUUAUUCUCAAAGCAACUCCACAUCUGGGUCUUCUGUCCUAGGAGCCCAGCACUCCCUGACUAACUUUCCUCUCUCCUUCCUUCCAAUAAUCAGAAGGCCUGAAGGUGAAACUAAAAAGUGAGUGGCUUUCUCACUAUGCUUCUCACUCCACUUGGUGGACUCAGGUAUGUCCAGGGAAACACAAAUGAUGGUUAUUACCAAGCCCCGCACUCCCCGCCCCCUAACUCACUGCAGAUCCUUGAUGUUGAUGAGGAAGAGGACUAGGAAGUUGCCACUGUUUUUCUGAAGAGGGCAGUCAUGAAAAUCCUGGGUCUGGGGAAUGGGCAAGAAGGAACCUUGGUUACCCUUUCCCAUGGGCCCAGCUCUACCCUGCCUCCCUCUCCAUCCACCCAGGGCUCUUCUUGUUUCUGCCUCUAGAAGAACAGGGAGAGGCCUUUGGGUUACAGAUGCAGAAGAUAGACUCCCCCCCUACACACACACCACUUAGCCACUCAGCUCCUCUCUCUCCCUCCAUACACCCUCCACUCACUGAAUAGGAUCGGGAGCUGCCAGAUCGGACUCGGCUCAGACUAAAGCCCACCUGGAGGAUGGAAAGGAAUGGGGGAAGAUGUAAGAGACCUCAGCAGGAAAACUUCCACCCUAAGCCAUUUUCUUCAGUAGCAAUAGAAAACUAAGCUCACAUUCAUUGGACACCCACCAUGUGCUAGAUCCCACGUUUUCUCUCUGAACUUUCCAAUAACCUUCCUGUCCCUCCUUUGUCUUCCUUUAACUCCUAAUCAUCCCCUGUCAACUCAAUCUUCUUGUUAGUGGCUCAGGGAGACCUUCAACAGCCCACCCUGUUUUUCCCCAUUUAAAAUGAUAAUGGCUUCCUGUCCUAGGCUCUGGAACCCAAUCUUCUUAGGGUUUGCCCAUUGUGUGACUCUGAGGAAGCCACAUACCUCCGAACCUGUGGUAUACAAAUAAAGUUGGCUUUAGUGAAUUUUCUGCAACAUCCCUGAGAGGUGACUAUGAGGAAAUGGAUCCAUGGAAAAUGCUUUGCAUAGUACCUACCUUGUACCUAGUGUGUAUUCAAUAGAUGCUAGUUAUGUAUUCUGACUUCAUGAACUGGGGUUGUCUUAUUUAUUGGUAUGUCCCCCUACCCCGCUCUUUAAGAAAAGUGCCACCUAGAAGCUGAGCUAGUCCUAGCUACUUGGAGGCUGAGGUGGGAGGAUCAUUUGAGGACUUCCAUGCUUCAGUGAGCUAUGUCAGUGCCUGUGAAUGGUCACUGUACCCCAACCUGGGCAACACGGGAAGACCUUGUCUCUAAAAUAAAAAGAAAAGCGCCUAGUACAUUUUGCAUAAGACAUUAUUAUUAUUGCCAGGUAACAUAUGAGGAAACUGAAGCUCAGAAAAACCAAGGGACUUGCCCAAGAUCACAUGAGUACAAAGAAGAGCUAGAAAGGGAACCCAGAACUGGAAGUGUGUGUGUGAAGGUUGUGUACUCUGUCCUCUUCCAGCAAUCUCCUCAAACCCCCUCACCAGCAAGGACUUCUCUUCUGCCUCCUGGAGGCCCAGCCGCAGCAGGCUCAGCUCCACCUCCAGGGAGCCAUUCGUGUAGAAGCCGAAGCUGUUCAGCUGGAUGUCUGCUCGCUUCUCCCCCUACCGGCAGACCAAGGAGGUAGAAGCGGCUCAGACUUCUCACCACCAGACCAGCCCUAAGGACUCGAGGCAUGAGACACCCUCUCCCACGCCCACCAAGGGCCUCCUGGGACCCCUUUAUUUAGAACAGCCACACAGAAUGACAAGAAAGAGUUAGGGUGCCCGGUUCCCUGAAGUUUUCUGGCCGCUGUUCAGAAAGCACAGUAAGGGAAAUCUUGUGGCACCUGACGCCCCCCCCGCCCCCCUCCCCCGCCUCCACCGGGUGAGUACCACCCUAGACUAGUUAUUCACUUCGGUGUUCCUGGCUUUCACCUCCUGGGAUUUUUUUAGGUUGCAAACGAGCUCCCCUAGAGUGCUGAGCUUUCAACUGAGCCCUCAAGAUCCCAAUGAGCUCCCAAGGGGAACCCACUCCAGAACCCCCAGGAGUCCCCGGCUCCCCACGAAAGGCGUCAAGAGUCCCGGGAGGCCGCAAAAUGAUUGCAUAAAUUUAAAGGGCUAAGACUCCAGGGGUCUUGAGACGGAGCUCCGCCUCCGACGGGCGGGGCGCGACCCCCGCGUGGCCCGCCCGGCAACUCCAUCCCAAGGACUGCGGGGGAUCCUAGGACGAGACCACUUCGGGUCUGAAAACGAAGGGGCGCCGGACCGCUCCAUCACGCGCACGAAGCGGGGAAGGUUGGUCGAGACCACUCCAAGCCAGGGGCUUCCGGGACAAAGUUGCGGGCCUCCGCCUCCAACCGCCACGCGAUGGGUCUCACCGUCAGUACCAGCCGGUGGAUGCGCCCGGAGCAGCCGCCCAACAACAGCAGCAGAAGUAGCCGCUGCCCCCACUCCGCCGGGCUCCCGCGACCGAGCCCCCUCCUCUCGCUCACUGCCAUCUCUGGAGCCACCGCCUCCCUGGAUACCGCCUCUGAGGCCCAAGCCCGCCUACUGAUAAGCCAAUCGCCGCAAGGAGGGGUACAGCUGCUGCAAGACGGCGGCAGAUGGACAUCACUAGGACCGAAUGGGAGAGCAAACCUGCUUAACCCCGCCUCCACUCCCACCAAUCACUAGAAAGAUUUCCCCGGAUGUAAUUUGAUAAACAGUUUAUUUAACCAAUUGUGAUGGAUCUGAUAUCUAGCCCCUGGAAGCGGAAUUCCUUCCCCUACUCUCAACGGUCCAGGAUUACAUUACCCGGAAUGCAAAGGGAGCAGACAAGUUCGACAAGGCAUUAAGUAAACUACGUUUCCCAGUAUCCCCAAGGACGAACUCCCCCACUCCCCGCCCCAGGGAUGGGGCUCCAGGCCAGAGCUCAGGCUUUCGGUAAACACAUGCAGCAGUUGA